rnacentral:rRNA from 1 species
UACGUAGGGGGCGAGCGUUGUCCGGAGUUACUGGGCGUAAAGCGCACGCAGGCGGUCUGUUAAGUUUGGAGUGACAGUUGGUGGCUUAACCGCAAAGUGCUUCGAAAACUGACAGACUUGAGGGCUUCAGAGGGACACGGAAUUCCGGGUGGAGUGGUGAAAUGCGUAGAGAUCCGGAGGAACACCAAAGGCGAAGGCAGUGUCCUGGGGAGUACCUGACGCUCGAGGUGACGAAAGCCAGGGGAGCGAACGGG